UGGGGAAUUUUCCGCAAUGGGCGCAAGCCUGACGGAGCAAUACCGCGUGAGGGAGGAAGGCUUUUGGGUUGUAAACCUCUUUUCUCAAGGAAGAACACAAUGACGGUACUUGAGGAAUCAGCAUCGGCUAACUCCGUGCCAGCAGCCGCGGUAAUACGGAGGAUGCAAGCGUUGUCCGGAUUUAUUGGGUUUAAAGGGUGCGUAGGUGGUUUAUUAAGUCAGUGGUGAAAGGCUACAGCUCAACUGUAGGAGUGCCAUUGAUACUGGUAGACUUGAGUUUGGUCGAGGUAGGCGGAAUUUAUGGUGUAGCGGUGAAAUGCAUAGAUACCAUAAAGAACGCCGAUAGUGAAGACAGCUUACUAGGCCUGGACUGACACUGAGGCACGAAAGCGUGGGGAGCGAACAGGAUUAGAUACCCCCGUAGUCC
rnacentral:rRNA from 1 species